AUGGUUUAUAAAGGCAUAUUAUCUGAUCAGUCUGUUGUUGCAAUAAAAAAGUCUAAGGUCAUCAAGCAGUGUGAGAUUAGUCAAUUCAUCAAUGAGGUUGCAGUCCUGUCUCAGAUAAAUCACAGAAAUAUUGUAAAGCUCUUCGGAUGUUGUCUUGAAACGGAGGUUCCACUCUUGGUGUAUGACUUUGUAUCCAGUGGCUCAUUAUCUCAAGUUCUUCAUGCUGAUUCAAGUGAUGGUUUUUCUUUGUCUUGGAGUGAUUACUUGAGGAUUGCCCUGGAAACAACAGGAGCUCUAUCAUAUCUCCACUCUUCAGCUUCAAUAUCAAUCUUCCAUCGUGAUGUGAAGUCCUCAAAUAUUCUCCUGGACGAGAACUACACAGCUAAAGUUUCAGAUUUUGGUGCUUCUAGACUGGUUCCAAUUGAUCAAACACACAUUGUUACCAAUGUGCAAGGUACAUUUGGGUACUUAGAUCCAGAGUAUUUCCAUACCAGACAGCUGAACAGGAAGAGCGACGUGUACAGUUUUGGUGUGGUACUUGUGGAGUUGCUUCUCAGAAUGAAACCUAUUUUCACGAGCACAUCAGGCACCAUACAGAACUUGUCAAGCUACUUCCUCCAGGAGUUUCGUGAGGGAAGGAUAAUAGGUAUUGUCAACUCUCAGAUCCUCGAGGAAGCAAGUGAGGAAGAGAUCAACAAUGUUGCCAGUAUUGCUGAGGCAUGCUUAAGACUGCGCGGUGCAGAAAGACCCACCAUGAAACAAGUUGAGGUGAAAUUGCAGAUUCUACGAACCAAAAGGACGAAGUUAUGCCAAGUGGAUCCAAUAAAUGAAGAACAAAUGCAGUCAAGAUUACAAACUCGAAGAGCUAGAGUUGCUCUCCAGUCGUCUACGAUGCAUUUGGGUGACAGAAUCAAGUUACGGUCAAGAGACAACCAAUGA
rnacentral:rRNA from 1 species